UUACAGGACACAUCCUCUCUCUACAGCUGCUUGGAGCAGCUAUGCAGUGCCUAUUGUAAGCAGAUGAAAGCUCAGGAAGGAUUGGCUUGGUAUGAGUUUGUGAGGAGCAAGACUUAUUGGGUUUUGGUAGUUUUUUUGAACAGUUACUCAUGGUAAGGAAACUGUUUCUUCUGCCUUUUUAAUUCCAGGUGAUCUGAGAUAGCUGAAACACUUGUCCUUACUACUUCGGAAGGAGAGAAGACAGUUUUCUGAAGUUAUUUUCCUGCUUGUGACACCAACAUUGCUUAAUUCUCUGGGUCCUGACAGCCACAAGUAAAGAUCGCCUACUGCUCCACCAGUAGUAACAGGAUGUGCUUCAUGCCUCUGAAUAUCAAGCCUACACAUUUUUCUGCAGAAAUACUCCCAUCAAAUUCUAAGCAGUAUAUCUCACGGGGAAAGAGUCAUCAGACCAGAGCACUACAUAGUGCUCCAAAGCUAGUGCUGCGUCUGGGCUAGUCUGAAACAACGAGGUUUCCACCACCAUCCCUGGAAAUGAUACCACAAACACAGCAUCAAACAAGGGAUCAUCCUCCAAAAAGAGGUGCAGCUGCAAAUAAUAGGCUAGGACUGGUUACUGAGAACUGAAUACAAUAUUUCAAGAUUAGUCUUUCAGAGUCACACAAAGAUGGAGCUUCACCUGUCUGGACUAAAGUACCUUUGAGGAAGUUACAAUAAGAAGAGCUCCUCCAGGAAUAAAAAGAAGCUGCAGGGAGUUUGUUCUAAAGGCAAAAGAUUUGCCUUCAACUCCCCUUGAUUUUCUGUGUGUUUGGUGCCUACAUGUCCUGGUCCUUUCCCAAUAAAUACCCUGAGUUUAAAU